rnacentral:rRNA from 1 species
AUUGUACGCUGGCGGCAUGCCUUACACAUGCAAGUCGAACGGCAGCACGGGAGCAAUCCUGGUGGCGAGUGGCGAACGGGUGAGUAAAGUAUCGGAACGUGCCCAGUCGUGGUGGAUAACGUAGCGAAAGUUACGCUAAUACCGCAUACGAUCUAUGGAUGAAAGCGGGGGAUCGCAAGACCUCGCGCGAUUGGAGCGGCCGAUAUCAGAUUAGGUAGUUGGUGGGGUAAAGGCUCACCAAGCCGACGAUCUGUAGCUGGUCUGAGAGGACGACCAGCCACACUGGGACUGAGACACGGCCCAGACUCCUACGGGAGGCAGCAGUGGGGAAUUUUGGACAAUGGGCGAAAGCCUGAUCCAGCCAUGCCGCGCGCAGGAUGAAGGCCUUCGGGUUGUAAACUGCUUUUGUACGGAACGAAAAGGUUUGGCCUAAUAAGCUGAGCUCAUGACGGUACCGUAAGAAUAAGCACCGGCUAACUACGUGCCAGCAGCCGCCGUAA